rnacentral:rRNA from 1 species
UACGUAGGGUGCAAGCGUUAUCCGGAAUUAUUGGGCGUAAAGAGCUCGUAGGCGGUUUGUCGCGUCUGCUGUGAAAACCCGAGGCUCAACCUCGGGCCUGCAGUGGGUACGGGCAGACUAGAGUGCGGUAGGGGAGAUUGGAAUUCCUGGUGUAGCGGUGGAAUGCGCAGAUAUCAGGAGGAACACCGAUGGCGAAGGCAGGUCUCUGGGCAGUAACUGACGCUGAGGAGCGAAAGCAUGGGGAGCGAACAGG